AGGUACUUCUGGAGGUCUGGAUGUCAGUCUCCCAUCCAAAGUGGGACUAACUCAUGACCAAUUAAAAUUAAUCUAAUCUGCCCUGUCCCUAGGGGUAGUUCUUCCUUAAUUAACAAAUAAGAGUGACAGGGCGUGGCUAAUUUUCAAAAGCCCCCAAGGAGGAAGUAAAUAUUUUAUUCCAAUGUAGUGAAGUCUUUGCUAAUGUUUUCUAUGUGCAGAGGCAGAGUUUUAAAGAUACCAAAGCAUCUAAAUAUGCACACAGUCACCUGCUAGAGAUCAACAAAAUGACCUCAUUGACAAGGCACUGGAAAUCAGCUGUAGGCUUUUCUGAAUCUAACUCGUCGUCUCCACUCCUUUGCAAAUCUAUUUGUGUUUUUUUUUCAUGUCUUUUUGAUCACGGACUUCUAACUCGCUUAGUUACUUUUGGAAAUUAGACCCAGCAAGGAUACAUUUCCUGAGUGUCAGCCAGAAAGCCACAUGAUUACAUCUGGUACAUCAAUUUCCAAAUUCUGCUUGGGCACUAUCAGUUCACAGUGCUUCCCUAUAAAAAUCCCAGCACUGUUUUCUCUGCUCACCUAUAAAAUAUGCAAUCAGAAUGUGUAUCUAGAUGCAAAUAGGUCUUGAUUCUAAUACAUUUGCACUGCAAUUCCAUUCACAGUCUGAAUGUCUUUAAUUCCUUUUACCAGAUGCAAUCCCUGGAAAGAAUUGGUGAAACAGUUGCAAUUAAAAAGACACUUUUGAGGCUAUUAGGAUGAAAAAUCAAUCUUCCCUGACUGUCAUCUGUAAUUCCCAGCUUGCAGGUGGGCAGCCAUGUAAUUAUAUCUUUACCACACACACACACACUCAUUCACACCUUUUCUAUAUCAGGAUUGGUUACUUACAAUGACCAAAAUAUAAUUUUCAGAAUGAUAUAAGGCUCGCUUUUUGAUUCACAAUAUGCUAAUGAAUAUGCCCCGUGAUGCCUUAAAAUACCUAUCUGCCAGAGGAGGACUGUGUAUGUUUGAAAAUAAUUACAAGAAUGAACUCCAGAUGGUCCUGCUGUCAAGGAAAAAGAGUACAAGCCACAGACCUGAGGAUCAACCCUACAAGACAACAUAUAUUUUGCACAGCAGUGGCCUGGCCUUAGCAUUUUGAGUGACUUGAGUAUUCAAGUGUCAUUUAAUUGAACAUUUGAGUACAUGAGAGGAUUAGGAAGGUCAUGUAGUACCAGAAUGCGCAUCAAUGGAACAAUAUUUUCUCCUGGAGGUAUGUAAAGAGUGUAUUUUGUCUAUCAUCAGCAGUGACUGGAUCAUCUAAACAUGUCCUAAGGCAGCCCGCUCUAAUAUUUCAAGCCUUUCAGGAGAUAUGAUUUUCCUUGUUCUUCAGUGUUCUUUUGCCCUGUCAUUCUAGAUAUGAGGUUUGCCUUCUUCACUUCUAUGCAUUUUGAAAUUGUACGGUGAGAUGCCCCACUACAUUCCAGGAAGACUCUAUUCUAAUAAGCAUUGUUGAGCAAAAGUUUGAAAUGGCUACUGGUGCCCUUCAAUCUGCAAUGGGUGCCUUUGAGAUUAAUGUGUGACUGAGGUAGGGAAAACAAGGAUAAAUUUCUGGUUUUGGAAAUCUGUGCUUGUAGCAAUGCUAACUUUCUAAAACUCGAUAAUAAAGAAAUGUUGCAGUUUUUCUUCA
rnacentral:lncRNA from 1 species